AAUGUGAUUAGGGAAUGAUUUGCUUAACAAUAUCAGCAACACUGCCAGAGCUAAGGGCACCACCAUGUCAAGAGAAUCAAGUGUGCCAGAAAGCCAAUGCAGUUCAACUUGGAAUUCUCUCUCUUUCUACAUCCACUGGAUAUCUCUUGAGGAAUCUGGCCUUGCGUGGAGGCAUUUGGGGCAGAUCAGUAUUGUGGCGAAGAUCCAAAGCAAGAAUGACAACUUGAAGAUUCUUUAAUUGGCACUUUUUCCUCAUGGGGGAUCAAUUCUGUUGGCAUCAACUGUGCUUGUUUAUGCUCAAGAUUAUGUUGGAUGGGUCUGGGGCCUUGGAAUUCCUGCAAUUCCCAUGCUCCUAUCACUAGCCAUAUUUGUAGCUGGGUACCCACCCACUCUGUCGAAUUUUAGAGCCAGCUGGUUGUCCAUUUACAAGAUUGUUACAAGUCAAUGUGGCUGCAUUAAGAAAAAGGAAGGUUUCUGCAGUUUCCAAUCCUUAUUUUUUGUACUUUAUGAGGAGCUUGAUGCCUCUAUUUCAGCAGAUGGAAUGCUUCAUCAUACUGAACAAUUUAAGUUUCAUUUCUUUUGCAUAUACUGAUGCUGAAGAGGAUAACCCAGAUCGGUACACCUAAGAAAAUCUCAUUUACAAUGCAAUGCAGAUUUUUGGACAAGGCAGCCAUUAUGACAGAUGAGAAGAAAGCUCAAACCAUUAGAAAAACCGAACCUAUGGAGACCAAACACUGUUCAUAGAGUUGAAGACUGAAAUCUGUGAUCAAAAUGUUACCAAUAAUGGCUGUUGGAAUCCUCUUUUUUACGGCCUCUGCCCAACAGAACACAUUCUCACUGCAAUUAACGAGCCAAUACCAUGAAUAGGCAUCUCACAAAAUCCUUCCAAAUCCCUGCUGCGUCUACGUCUGUGUUCAACAUGACUUCAUGCUUGCUACAAUAGCUUUAUACGACCGUAUAUUUGUUCCUUCCCUUCAAAAAUUCACAGGGCUUGAGCGCGGCAAAAAUUUCUUGCACAGAAUGGCCAUAGUUUUCGCCAUUUCAAUAUUAGCCACUCUGGUUGCUGGAUUGUUGAAGUCAAGAGGAAGCAUAUAGCAUGGGCUACUGGGAUUACAAAUAGCAACAGCACCACUCUUUCCGUAUCAGUUUUUUUGGCUUGUGCCGCAAUAUAGCAUUCCCGGAAUAUUAAUUCGGUUCUAAACCCACUUUGAACUGGACUGGUUCUAGUCAAUUGGCAUCGCAAAGAUU
rnacentral:misc_RNA from 1 species